UUAGAUUGCACAGGGCCUUUUCCAACAAC
rnacentral:sRNA from 1 species